UGGCAAUGAUCAUGUCUUCCUGAUGCUUGUCGCAAACGAAGAACAAUGGAGGUUUGGCAUGUAUCUAACAACAUUGGCACUAGCCUAGGCUUUUUUCACGCAGAGCUCCAUCCUCAGUGGCAUGGAAGGUUUCAUUAUGGCUUCUUUUAUAAACUCUGCCAAACUGUUGUGAUGCGAGCACGGAUUGUUGUGAUUGGCCUCGUAUCAGAUGUGAUGCUCGUGGCCUUGGUCUUGUUGUUGGACUCGACUUGAGCGGGGAAGACAUGCCGGGAGAUAUAUCGAAGAACUGGAUUUAUCUUAGUAUUCAAUUGAAGUUGCAGAACUUAAAUGCUCGACCAUCGGCCACCGUCGUCAUGCCCAAACCCCGAUGAGGCUAAAAAUAUCUAAAAGAAUUAAAAGAUUGGGCUAAAAAUAUGUAAAAGAAUAAAAGAUUUCCACCGACCCAUGGGGAGCAGCAACGACUGGUAAUAUGGUGUCGUGCGCUUACUGGCUCUUUCAUCAUCAAACGAAUAGCCAUGAACUACGUGUAAAGCUUUACUGUGAUACUCAUCUUAUAGAUAGCAGACGCCUGUCCCUCAAAAUCUCAAAAGCUCUUGAAUUGCUGGGGCUCAAGAUUUGGAGGAAAUCAAAGUUCAGAGAAACAAAAAAAAAUGGAAGGCUGUGCAAUGGGAACUCCUGAUAUCUACCAGGACGACUGUGCAAUGGGAACUCCUGAUAACUACCCAACCGACGACGUACUACAAGAUCGCGGCCG
rnacentral:lncRNA from 1 species